CGCGCGCUCUCUCUCUCUCUCUCUCUCUCUCUCUCUCUCUCUCUCUCUCUCUCUCUCUCUCUCUCUACGAACCCUACCGUUCCCCCUCUUCCUCCAAAUUCCACUCCCUAAUCCUCCAAAUCCUUACUACCUGUUCCCCCAAAUUUCAUCUUCUAACCCUCAAAUCGAAGCCAUUUCGGAGAUCCACAGUGCAAUUUUGGAGAUCCAAUUUAGGAAAUCUGCAGUGCAAUUUUGGAGAUCCGCGAUGCAAUCAAAGGUGAUCCCGAGCUCCCCACCAAGUAUGAAGUUCGGUUAAUUUUUCGGCAGGAAAGUGCAUAAUCGCAUUCUGAGAGAGCACAUCAGCAACAACUGCCAGUUCUAAAGAGAUUUAACUUCUGGAGUCCAAAGCCCUAACCUGCAUCCUCCGAGAAUAUUGACAUCCUGUAACCAUGCCGAUUGCACGCGAAGCAAAAACAGCAUUUACUUUUAAGAUGCAUAUAUGAGUUCCAAAAAGCAAGCAAAAUUUCAAAAUCGCUGAAGAAUAUGUGCAUCACCUUUUCUAUAUUGUCCAGCAUAAUGUUUUUUACUUCUGCAACUUGAGUUUUCACUUUUAGCAGCUUCUCUAUCUCAUCUGCGUGCUCGAUAAUGUACCGCAUGUGCUCCUUCAUAACUGGGCUGCAUCAAAAGAUUGACGAUAAUCAUAAAAACUGAAGAGGUAAGGAUGAUUCUUCAAGGUUUUUUUUUUUUUGUUUUUUUUAAAAAAGGUAAUAUGAAGACAAAAGUUGAAGGA